CAAGUUCGUACUUAGCUGUCUCCCGUACCAUAGUGGURCAGCUUUUUCAUAGGCRUGUCSGRUUAAUUUGRCUUGAGGGGAAAACUAAGUGAGUGCGGCCCCUUGAUMCUCUUGYCCUCCGUCGAYACUAUAAGCGAUAGCGAGAAGUGCGGUUUUUACGCAGUUUGUCGACAUUUCGAGCUUGGGUCUCUGAGGUUGAAACGYRUCCMGRGUGGUAUUUUUGGUUAUACUUCUAUUCGCUUAGGUUGUUGGCUUAAUGACUCUAAAUGACCCGUCUUGAAACACGGACCAAGGAGUC
rnacentral:rRNA from 1 species